rnacentral:rRNA from 1 species
CCGGCGCACGGGUGAGUAACACGAUCCAACCUGCCGAUAACUCGGGGAUAGCCUUUCGAAAGAAAGAUUAAUACAAGAUGGCAUCAUGAGUCCGCAUGUUCACAUGAUUAAAGGUAUUCCGGUAGACGAUGGGGAUGCGUUCCAUUAGAUAGUAGGCGGGGUAACGGCCCACCUAGUCUUCGAUGGAUAGGGGUUCUGAGAGGAAGGUCCCCCACAUUGGAACUGAGACACGGUCCAA